ACACUCACACAAUCCACACCACACUCAACAACAUCCACUCUCCAACACUACCCUCAACAUGCACACCCUGCCUGCUGUCGUGGAGCUGACGAGAAAGGCCAUUGGCACGACUUGGCAGUUGCAGGCAGUUCUUUCGGCACUCUUCCGGCUUCUUCUACAUCAGCCUGCUCGAGUGCGACAGCAACUCUUGCAGGACUGAUUUUCGGACUGCUUUCGGAUCUUCAUUAUCGGCCUGCCCGAUUGCCUCGGGAACUCGUGCAGGACUGAUUUUCGGCCUUGUUUGAUCGCUUCUUCAUUGAUUCGGUUUCAGCAUCACCUUUCGGCUAAUUGCAAUAUAUCUACUUUUAACUCUU